UACGUAGGGUGCGAGCGUUGUCCGGAAUUAUUGGGCGUAAAGAGCUCGUAGGCGGUUUGUCGCGUCUGCUGUGAAAACGCGAGGCUCAACCUCGCGCCUGCAGUGGGUACGGGCAGACUAGAGUGCGGUAGGGGAGAUUGGAAUUCCUGGUGUAGCGGUGGAAUGCGCAGAUAUCAGGAGGAACACCGAUGGCGAAGGCAGAUCUCUGGGCCGUUGACUGACGCUGAGGAGCGAAAGCGUGGGGAGCGAACAGG
rnacentral:rRNA from 1 species